rnacentral:rRNA from 1 species
UUGAACGCUGGCGGCAGGCCUAACACAUGCAAGUCGAACGGUAACAGGAAGCAGCUUGCUGCUUUGCUGACGAGUGGCGGACGGGUGAGUAAUGUCUGGGAAACUGCCUGAUGGAGGGGGAUAACUACUGGAAACGGUAGCUAAUACCGCAUAACGUCGCAAGACCAAAGAGGGGGACCUUAGGGCCUCUUGCCAUCGGAUGUGCCCAGAUGGGAUUAGCUAGUAGGUGGGGUAACGGCUCACCUAGGCGACGAUCCCUAGCUGGUCUGAGAGGAUGACCAGCCACACUGGAACUGAGACACGGUCCAGACUCCUACGGGAGGCAGCAGUGGGGAAUAUUGCACAAUGGGCGCAAGCCUGAUGCAGCCAUGCCGCGUGUAUGAAGAAGGCCUUCGGGUUGUAAAGUACUUUCAGCGGGGAGGAAGGGAGUAAAGUUAAUACCUUUGCUCAUUGACGUUACCCGCAGAAGAAGCACCGGCUAACUCCGUGCCAGCAGCCGCGGUAAUACGGAGGGUGCAAGCGUUAAUCGGAAUUACUGGGCGUAAAGCGCACGCAGGCGGUUUGUUAAGUCAGAGGGGAAAUCCCCGGGCUCAACCUGGGAACUGAAUCUGAUACUGGCAAGCUUGAGUCUCGUAGAGGGGGGUAGAAUUCCAGGUGUAGCGGUGAAAUGCGUAGAGAUCUGGAGGAAUACCGGUGGCGAAGGCGGCCCCCUGGACGAAGACUGACGCUCAGGUGCGAAAGCGUGGGGAGCAAACAGGAUUAGAUACCCUGGUAGUCCACGCCGUAAACGAUGUCGACUUGGAGGUUGUGCCCUUGAGGCGUGGCUUCCGGAGCUAACGCGUUAAGUCGACCGCCUGGGGAGUACGGCCGCAAGGUUAAAACUCAAAUGAAUUGACGGGGGCCCGCACAAGCGGUGGAGCAUGUGGUUUAAUUCGAUGCAACGCGAAGAACCUUACCUGGUCUUGACAUCCACGGAAGUUUUCAGAGAUGAGAAUGUGCCUUCGGGAACCGUGAGACAGGUGCUGCAUGGCUGUCGUCAGCUCGUGUUGUGAAAUGUUGGGUUAAGUCCCGCAACGAGCGCAACCCUUAUCCUUUGUUGCCAGCGGUCCGGCCGGGAACUCAAAGGAGACUGCCAGUGAUAAACUGGAGGAAGGUGGGGAUGACGUCAAGUCAUCAUGGCCCUUACGACCAGGGCUACACACGUGCUACAAUGGCGCAUACAAAGAGAAGCGACCUCGCGAGAGCAAGCGGACCUCAUAAAGUGCGUCGUAGUCCGGAUUGGAGUCUGCAACUCGACUCCAUGAAGUCGGAAUCGCUAGUAAUCGUGGAUCAGAAUGCCACGGUGAAUACGUUCCCGGGCCUUGUACACACCGCCCGUCACACCAUGGGAGUGGGUUGCAAAAGAAGUAGGUAGCUUAACCUUCGGGAGGGCGCUUACCACUUUGUGAUUCAUGACUGGGGUG